rnacentral:rRNA from 1 species
GGAAAUCGGCAGCUAUACAUGCAGUCGAACGGUGUCUUCGGACAUAGUGGCGCACGGGUGCGUAACACGUAUGCAACCUACCUUACAUUGGGGGAUAGCCUUUCGAAAGGGAGAUUAAUACCGCAUAAGACAGUAGCUGGGCAUCCAGCAGCUGUUAAAGAUUUAUCGAUGUAAGCUGGGCAUGCGUCCAAUUAGCUAGUUGGUGAGGUAACGGCUCACCAAGGCUAUGAUUGGUAGGGGAACUGAGAGGUCAAUCCCCCACACUGGCACUGAGAUACGGGCCAGACUCCUACGGGAGGCAGCAGUAGGGAAUAUUGGUCAAUGGACGCAAGUCUGAACCAGCCAUGCCGCGUGAAGGAUUAAGGUCCUCUGGAUUGUAAACUUCUUUUAUAUGGGACGAAAAAAGGUCUUUCUAGACCCCUUGACGGUACCAUAUGAAUAAGCACCGGCUAACUCCGUGCCAGCAGCCGCGGUAAUACGGAGGGUGCAAGCGUUAACCGGAUUCACUGGGUUUAAAGGGUGCGUAGGCGGGUAGGUAAGUCAGUGGUGAAAUCCUGGAGCUCAACUCCAGAACUGCCAUUGAUACUAUCUAUCUUGAAUAUUGCGGAGGUAAGCGGAAUAUGUCAUGUAGCGGUGAAAUGCUUAGAUAUGACAUAGAACACCCAUUGCGAAGGCAGCUUACUACGCAUAUAUUGACGCUGAGGCACGAAAGCGUGGGGAUCAAACAGGAUUAGAUACCCUGGUAGUCCACGCCCUAAACUAUGGAUACUCGACAUAUGCGAUACACUGUAUGUGUCUGAGCGAAAGCAUUAAGUAUCCCACCUGGGAAGUACGUUCGCAAGAAUGAAACUCAAAGGAAUUGACGG